rnacentral:rRNA from 1 species
AUACGGAGGAUGCAAGCGUUAUCCGGAUUUAUUGGGUUUAAAGGGUGCGUAGGCUGUUCGGAAAGUCAGGGGUGAAAGCCCGGCGCCUAACGCCGGAACUGCCUUUGAUACUCCCGAGCUGGAAUACGGAUGCCGUGGGAGGAAUGAGUAGUGUAGCGGUGAAAUGCAUAGAUAUUACUCAGAACACCGAUUGCGAAGGCAUCUCACGAAUCCGUCAUUGACGCUGAGGCACGAAAGCGUGGGGAUCAAACAGGAUUAGAUACCCUGGUAGUCCACGCAGUAAACGAUGAUGACUAACCGUCGGCGAUACACAGUCGGUGGCCAAGCGAAAGCGAUAAGUCAUCCACCUGGGGAGUACGUUCGCAAGAAUGAAACUCAAAGGAAUUGACGGG